rnacentral:rRNA from 1 species
CGCGUAGGAGGCGAGCGUUAUCCGGAUUUACUGGGCGUAAAGCGCGUGCAGGCGGUUGCGUAAGUUGGAUGUGAAAGCUCCUGGCUUAACUGGGAGAGGUCGUUCAAAACUGCGUAACUAGAGAGCGAAAGAGGGAGGUAGAAUUCCGAGUGUAGUGGUGAAAUGCGUAGAUAUUCGGAGGAAUACCAGAGGCGAAGGCGGCCUCCUGGUUCGCAACUGACGCUGAGACGCGAAAGCUAGGGUAGGAAACGGGAUUAGGGACCCCGGUAGUCCUAGCUGUAAACGAUGUAGACUAGACGUUGGCGAUGUAAAAGGUGUCAGUGUCGGAGCAAACGCGAUAAGUCUACCGCCUGGGGAUUACGGCCGCAAGGCUAAA